rnacentral:lncRNA from 1 species
UGAUCAUAACUAAGCACAAAGCUGUCUGGGAAAUGUAGUCCCUUCGUCAGGCAACCGCUUCAUAGUGACAACUAUGGAGAGUUCUGGAGAAGAAGUUGUUUUAUCUGGCAUAGAAUAUGAGAGAACCUGGAGAUGCUCUAGGAUAAGGUUGCAGAAUGGAGCAACAGGAAAAAUGAAACUUUAUCAGAUAUUUAGAAUUUUCUAACUGACCCUCUUAGAUAACAUCUGGCCUAUGGGCAAGGAGCAGUGAGGCUUCUCAAGGUGCAUCUGUCCACUGCGGCCCUAAGACUGUAGGUGAGCACCUGCUGCUGGGAGGCCUCUGAAACAGGAAGAGCAUUCUUCCCCUAUUUUUCUUUCCAGGGCCUCUUGCUCUGGGAUCCUUCUGGUGUGGUCUCCUUCGUGUUCUGGAUCCAAGCAUACCAUCUGAAAUUGUUCAGUGGAAUCCUGCUCCCCAACUAUAAGCCAUAGUGAUUUAUUGGAAGUCUCCUUGUUUCCUUAACACAUAUCUCUGUCUGUUCCUGGGGACUUUGAGAGAUUAUUGUACCUCAUCUGUUCCAGAUCGUAAGGGGAAAUUUUCCCUAAGGAGAAACCUUCAAACCAAAUUAUUAGAGAAACAUUUUAAAGAAGGCUGAAAAGAGCCUAGGUCAAGAUAUUAAUACGACACCCCAAAGGAGUUGAUACAUAACUCUAACUUUUUCUGUUCAGGAAGUUUCAAAAUAUUUACUGAAAUAAUGUGAGGUUAUUAAGCCCUGUUUGGAGAACCCUUGGCUCAUUUUCUGUUUUCUGUAGACUCUUAACUGUUGUUGAUCUGGGUUGAGUUUUCCGCUCACUGGUAAGUUUCAGUAACCACAUGGUAGGUGCCUUAUGAUGCCCUUCAUGUAAAGGCCUCCAAUAACAACAAACUUGAGCCUUUGUCUGAGCUGCCAGGUACCUACUUCUCUCAUUUUGUCCCCAAUAGCUAGCUAAACAGUCUGGUUUCUGAUUAAAUGUUGCCACUGGACUUGACAUUUCUGGCACCCACAUCCACACCCUAAACAGCAUGCAUUGUCCAUUGUAUGAAAAGGUCGGUCAUUGGCCAGUUUGACUCAGCCUCUCAGAUAGAGACAGAGCCCAAUGCCUGGUCUGCUCUCCGAGUCCUGCUGCCUAAACUCUGCUCAGGCCCCUGAUACCAGGAGUGGGCUGAAGAGGAGUGGAAUAGAAUAACAAGUUGAUUUUUGGCAAAAAUACUGCCACCUCUGGAGAUCCAUUUUCCCAGGGGCUGAAAAUAUCUCCUGAGCUGGGAGCUGACUCUGCCGAUAGAGAAAGUCAAAGAUAAAGACAGGUUAAUGGGGGACUGUGGUGCUUUCUAGAAGCAGAAAGCCAAAGAAGUAAAUUGAGAACAAGUACCAGUUUUCAAAAGCUGGAGCCACGUGGGGAUGAUCUAUUGCUGGAGUCCCAGCCUAACAGGGUCUCCCAGGAAGGGCAGAGCCCAAGGCCCCAGUGAAGGAGGAAAGAUGUCAGUGUCUGUGCAUUAGGCACACAGGCUAAGCACAGCUCGAUAAUUUCAGCUGUCAUCUGACAGGACUCCUCAAAGCUCAUAGUGCGUUGGAAUUGACAUAUGAGUGGUGGCUGGGUGGGGGAGGGGUCAACAUCCUGAUUUCUAAUUUUCGGCUGCAUAGUACAGCAGGAAGAGGGGUGUGACCACGAAUUCGCAUAACCAGAAUUUCACUGCUGUUGACACUUAGUGUUUGAAAGAAAGCCACAGAUCUUCAUGACCAUUUGACAGGGUAAACUCACAGACAACACCAUCCAGGCAGGGUUGUAUAUAAGUGCACAUUUUAUAAAUAUUUUAAUAUCUGACAUUUUCCCCAAUAAAACAUCAAAGUAGGUCUCAUGGAAGAAGCUAGACUCUCUUGAACUUACCUUAAUUUGGGGUUUUAUAAUUUUUUUCAGUUCUGAUUAUACAUGAGGUAUAUCAUUCACAUUUCAGAGACCAUAGUCUUUGCAGAGAGACCUCUGAAGGUCUUAGUCUGGCUUCCUUGACCCAUGCUGAGCAGAUGUGGAGGAACACAGCAGUCUCAUGUGGCUGCGCCUACAUCACUUGCUUGUUCUAACCCAGAAGUUUUCUAAUUGUCAGAGCGCAGAAGUGUUCCCUUCCCCUGGGUCAGCAUUAUAAAAUUUCUCCUGUUCCUUUUAGAGGGUUUUGCAAUAAGCCCGCGUCAUAUUCACCAAAGCUAAGAAUUCACAGUAAUGGGGCUUUGUAAUUUCUCACGCUGAAAUCCCCUAAUUUCUUGUCAAGAACCAACUUGGAAAACACCACACUGGAGACUUCGAGUUUUGUUAUUAACUCAAGCAGCCUCUGGUUUUCAUCAGACUUUUAAUGCUUCCUCCCUCCUCUAAAAUGGUGUUUCUGAAAAACGUAAUGUGGAGGCUCUGUUAGAAGAAGUAAGGUGGAUGCCUGAAACGAACAGUCUGGGCAACUUAGCAAAAUCCACAUCCAGUCAAUGAAAGUAAUCACCUUCAUUAUGGUCAGUACUAGUGUUUGGGCUUUUGAUGUUGCUAUUAAGAAUCAUUGUUUUAUCCCAGUGGCUUGGGAGGCUGAGGCAGGAGGAUUGUGAGUUCAAAGCUAGCCUCAGCAAAAGCAAGGUGCUAGGCCACUCAGUGAGACCCUGUCUCUAAAUAAAUACAAAAUAGGGCUGGGGAUGUGGCUCAGUGGUGGAGGCCCCUGCAUUCAAUCCCCAGUACCCCGCCCCCACCCCCAAAAAUCAUUGUUUUUGGGGAAAAAAAAUUUUUUUUUGUCUUUCUUAAUUUUCUUUCAUCUGGAUUCUUAGCCCCACUCCUAACCAGCCAAAGCACAUGGGGUAGGUUUCAGUGCCCACUUGGGGAACCUUGACUCUAGGCCAGACGCCUAACUGAGAGGCUGGCCACUAAUCUCAUUCAGUGAGAUGUUUGACCUGGGAUUUGCUGAAAUCUUCCAGGGUGGAUGGAUGAGUCACCUUUCUACCAAAAGAUGAUUCCUGGAAACCUUUGGGGGCUCCUGGUAAGUUGGGAAAAGGAGAUUUAGAAACCACUCAUGGAAGCAUUGACCUUGAGUGGGGCCUCCUCUCUUUGUCUGAGAGCCUCUGAUCAUGAGUGCAGCCCUCAAGGGUGAUGGGGGAACUUCUCUCCACAUUCCAGAUCUGACAGGCAUCAUCCUAAAACUCAGCAAGGAGGUGGCAAGGUGGCAAGUUCUUUUUCUUUUCUUUGAAAAAAUUAUCUUUUUACUAGAAUCAUAACUAUUCUCUGAAUAAAACCUGGAAAAUUAAACAAAAUAUCAAAAAGAAAAUAAACUAACACCAAGCCACAAUUCAAUGUAAAUAUUUUGAUGAAGAAGUGCUUUUUAAUUUUUCUUGUAUAUAUUCUUUUAAAAAUUAUUGAGAUGAGCCGGGUGCAGUGAUGCAUGCCUAUGAUCUCAGAGAUUGAGGCAAGAGGAUUGCAAAUUUAAGGCCAGCCUGAGCAACUUAGCUGUCUCAAAAUUAAAAGCACCCCAGGUUCAAUCUCCAGUAGCCAGGGCAGGUUUUGCUCCACUUUCUACUUAACAUGUAGCAAAUAUUUUUCAUUUGACAGGGUAAACUAAAUGCUCUUUGAAAACAGGAGAUUUUUAAUGUCUACGUUUCCAUCGUAUGGAUACAUCUUAACUUAUCUUUCCAUGGACAUUUUGAAUACCGCCCAUGUUGCACUGUUAUAAAUACAUAAACAUUCUUAAGAUAAAUCCUGUGGACAUCUUAGGAAAAAUCCUUAGAAAUUGGAGCAUAUGGUUCAAUGACCUGCUUUAGAGCUCCUGAUGAGCACUGGUGAAUAGGCUCCAGAAAGGUCUCAGUGUCUAUUUCCAAACCUUGGUGCCCUUUAGUUUCUCAUAGACAAAUGCAGGCUCCCAGGCCAUAGUGGCAUCAGAACCUCUGAGAGGCAUCCCAAGAAUAUGCAUUUUAAUUCAUCCUCCCAAUUCUUACGCACAUUAAAGUCUGACAACCAGUAGCAUGCAAUAUUCAACUAGUUCAAUGUACAUUCAAUUUGACAAACAUUUAUGAUAUAAAAUAAGUAAAGCAGGGCUGGGGUUGUAGCUUAGUGGUGGAGCACUUGCCCAGCAUAUGUGAAGCACUGGGUUCGAUUCUCAGCACCACAUAUUAAUAAAUAAAGAUCAAAAUGGUACAAACUUUGGGCUGGGGUUGUGACUCAGUGGUAGAGUGCUUGCCUAGCAUGUGCAAGGCACUGGGUUCGAUUCUCAGCACCACGUAUAAAUAAAUGAAUAAAAUAAAGUUCCAUCAACAUCUAAAAAAAAAGUACUUAAAAAAUUGAAAUCUUUAAAAAAAAUGGUAAGACUUUAAAAAUUUUUUAAAAUCAAAAAAUAAGAUAAGUAAAGCAACCCCAAACUAGUAUAUUGUCCUAGCCUCUUUUGUGCUCCUAUAACAAAGUACCUGAGGCUGAGAAUUUCAUAAAGAAAAAAGAUUUAUUUAGCUCACAGCACUGGGGGUUUGAGAGAAUAUCUGCUCAGCUCUGGCAAGGGCCUCAUGAUAAAAGGCAGAAUCACAUGCAAGUGUAGGAAGUGGCACACACAGAAGAGGGACUUAGAGCUGUGCCAGGCUGUCUCAUCAUGAUCCUCCUCACAGGAAGGAAUCCCAUCCUAUGGCCUAUAUUAACCCAUUCUGAGGAAUGUGCCCCAUGACCUAAUUUCCUUUCACUGAGCCAGGCUCCACCUCCUAAAGGUCCUGCCACCCUCAACACACCACACUGAGAACCAAGCCUCUGGUACAUAAAGUCCUGGAGGACAAACCAUACCCACGCUAUAGCACAUUUCUCAAUCAGAGUUUACCUUGAAGCCUUUUUUUUUGAUUCUGCAUUUUGGGAUUUCCUUUGGUAUGGUAUAAUAAAAAGCUUAUUCUUUGCUAGGGAACCAGGAAACUUAUUGUAAAUAUGAGAUCACAGAGGCCAACAUGGUUCAUUUACUUCCUGGGUGGUCACCCAGACAUUCAGUGACGGAGGUUGAACUAGACAAAGACACACCAACCACUGGGUAGUAGACAAAAGGAAUCAACGAGAAGACUCACUCCUGAAGCCAUCCCCUCAUCCCCAGGAGGGGCCCAGAUAUCCAUCCUAGUCACCUAAGGAGGCCAGACCCUGCGCCCUGAGGUGGUAGUACUAAACUAGAUGCAAGAGGACCCAGGGCAGCCAUGCAGAGGGUGUCCAGGAGGUCCAACCACAAGAGCAGAGCACGGGGGUGAGUCCAGGGUCAGAAACCAAGAGAGCAGAGCGGGGUUAGGCAAGGGCCAGACUAAAACACCUGGGCAGAUCUCCAGGCAAGGCAGCCUCGAGAUGAGAAGAAGGAAAGCCAGGGCUGGAGGGGAGCUAUAGCAGAACUUCGGACAGGAGGGCCUCCUCUCCAAAGCGGAAAGGUUCUGUGGCUGGCCCGCCUCGGACAACAGGGAGGGGACAGCAAUGGACCUCAGGGCAGGGACUGAAAAUGGAAAUUUAGAAAACAAUGGUCGAAACAACCAUAGGUCCUCCUCACCUUCUAAGAGGAAGUGUGACGCUCCCUCCUGCCUGUGGAACAAGCGGAAACCAGCAGGCCACAUCCACCAGUCAUGCUUGGUAUCUGAGGGCCCCAGUGCCUCCUCUCCUUCCAUGACCUCAACUGCUGGAAGGCCCCCAUUGCAUCAUUUGACCUUCAGGUUCUGCCUUCACAGACAGCUCAGCUCCCCAGAGUCCCCAAUUGGUGUCUGGAUUCUGUAACUCACCUGUCAGUUUCCUGCAUGGCUCGCUCUGCCAUGACAGCUGCAGAAGCAUUAGAGCCAGACCCCCCGGCACGCCCCACCUGUGCCAUCCUCCAUGCUCAGGCACCAGGGAGUUGGCCUGUGAUCACCAAGUUUUACUGAUUCUGCGUGUGCCGCCAUUAACUCAUGGCUGUCCCCACUCAGGAUGGCUCCUCUCCUGAUUCAUCCCAAACUCAUCCACCUGGGGAUCCAGGUUCACAAUAAGUAUAGAUUCUGGCAAUGUCAACAGUUUUCCUUAGAUCUGAGGUACAACUGAUAGAAGCCCGAGAAUGACACGGGCAGUUCAAGUCCUAUCGGUUUGCCUUGUGCAAAGCCCAUGUCCAUGUUGUCCUGAACAACGUCCUCGGCUGAGGCACCUCCUCAUGAUACUCAGAAGAAGUUCUGAUUACUCACAGGACUUGGAUCCCCAGCCAGGAAAGUCUAUGUUGUGACAACGUGCCAUCAGAUCUAACCCUUUGAGGGCAGAAAUUGGAGCUCCAUGAAAUGCAGACAAGGUGUCUGGACCCUGUUUGAAAAUAUUGGGUGGUCACAAAGCAGGAAGUUCAAAGGCAAAAACGUAUUCAGUGGGUUCUAUGAUCUGGCAAGUGCCACUGGUGUUCCCACCCUUACUUGUUUAUGUUGACUCCAAGUCCCACUUGCCCUCACACUAACUAACUAACUACUAACUAACCAACCUUGGGAAUAAAAAGCAUUUAUAAAAUCUUAGGUCAAAGGUACAGGAGGGUGCUGGCCCAGGCAAGCUCUACCCCUUCCCAUAGGAGUAGCUGGGCCAAGGACCAUUGCCUGCUGGGCCAAGGGCCAUUACCUCUGAGAGGCCAGCAUCCCCUGAAGGCGAUGUGCCACCACAGCAGUCAGAAGCAACUGGGCAAAACUGAAAGCUCCCACCAUAUCCAAAGAGACCAUUCCUGUUUCCCAUCAUCUAGAUGUCAGCACAAAAUGCUGUUAGACAGCUACCAGGAACAGUGGGAGAUAUCUGGGGCCAACUCCCCAGGAUCUGAAGACCCCCAAACUGUACAAGCCAAUCUUGACUGUGGACCAUCAAAAGGAGCCCCUAAAAGAGAAUGGCUCAAAUUAAAAGUACUGAUGUUAUUAAAUGCUGAUGAGAAAUGUAGGCAGGAUGGAUCUCUCAUAACCUGUUGAUGGUAAUGGAAAUGCACAGCCAUUCUUUGAGACGGUUUGAUGGUUUGUUAUAAAGCUAAACAUAUACUUAACCUAUUAUCCAGCAGUUCCCCUCUUCAGUAGUUACACAAGAGAAGCGGAAGUGGAUGUUCAUGCAGUAACCUGUACAUGAACGCGCAUAGCAGCUUUGUUUUUAAUAGCUACAAACUGGUGACAAGGCAAAUGUCCUUUCACAAGUGUGUGGAUAACCACCUGUGGUACAUCCAGAACUUGGAACACCAUUCAUCCAAAAAAGUGCUCGCUGUUCACCUGCAACUUGAACGAAUCCCAACAGCAUUAUGCUGGGGGGAAGGAGGCCAAUCUCAAAGGGUUACAUAUGGUAUAAUUCCAAAUUCCAAAUACCAAAUUACAGCAAUAGGAACAGAUAGGGCUCAGGGUUCAGGGCUGGGGCAAGCAUGCAACUAGGGGGUGGCACAGGGAUUUGUGAUGAUGGCAUAGUUCUGUGACCCGACUACAUGACCGAUGUAGACACACAAUAACAUUUCACAGAACCACAGAGACACUCGCAGAGAGCACGUAAAAUCUGGGAAAUCAGGCAAGAUCUCUGCCUGACCUAAGAGUAUACCAGUAUCCGUCGCUUGGUUUAGACAAUGUUGAGGGGAACAAUAAAGCAUAUACUUAUUGUACUUAUUUUUGUG